UGAACAGCAGGUGUAUCCAGCUCAAUUCUUUCAGGAUCAGGAUUUCUGGAAAGUUGUGUUCACUGUGGGCUCACUAUAAAACUAUAUUUAGAAUAGAGCCAUGGCUCGCUCCAAGACUUUCUGUUGUGUUGGAUGAUAAAUGUGAACAACAUGCCAUUCAAACCAGAAAUGUGGACCCAUAUCACAGUUGAGUGCAAGUUUGGCUUGAAUUUUAGGGGUUUGAACGCUUGGCAGCAACUGCCCUUCGUGCUCUUUUACAGAGUUAAAAACAAUGGUGUUGCCGUUUAUGGGCAUGUUGAAAGCUGUACAUUAAGGAUACCCAGGAGCGCCAUAGGUGAUGAUGAUUCUAAGGGCCCAUGACCGACAAGGCGUCUGAGAAAAUUUAGUUUCAAUUAAAGUGGUGGGGCUUAAAGUGUGUUUGUUUGUUUCAAUGGAGCACCAAUUCCCUGACUGCACACUUGUGGAUACUGACCCCCCAAAAAGUAUUUUGAUUAUUCCUUGCCUUUUAGUUAUUUUCCAAGAGAAGGACCAGCCUCCACAAGGGAUGUUACAAGAAAAAGUUAGAACAUACAGGGACUGGCCAGCUGAUAUACAUCAUCACUUUAAAGAGGUCACGGGGCCAGCAACCAAAGCAAAUAAGGCCAGACUUCGCAGCCACUACUUCCAGUUGUUCUGGGGGCAUCCCGAGACAUUUCCGUGCUAGCCAAGAGACAUAGUCUCUGCCUCACCAGGGAGACAUCCCGGAGGCAUCCUAAACAGAUGCCCGAGCCACUUCUUCUAGUUCCUCUCUAUGCGGAGGAGCAGCAGCUCUAAUCUGAGCCCCUCCCGGAUGACUGAGCUUCUCCCCCUAUCUCUAGACUGAUGCAGACUCCGCAUGACUGCAGAUCCACCUGUCGAUCUCCCGUUCCAUUCUUCCCUCACUCGUGAACAAGACCCUGAGAUACUCAAACUCCUCCACUUGGGGCAGGAUCUCAUCCCGACCUGGAGCGGGCACUCCACCCUUUUCCAAAGACCAUGGCUUCAGAUUUGGAGAGACACUUAUUUCUCAAGAAGCAGCAGCAGCAGGACAAGGGAACUUGAAAGAAUGGAGAAAAAAAUGACAUCAUCGGAAG